rnacentral:rRNA from 1 species
CAGGACGAACGCUGGCGGCGUGCUUAACACAUGCAAGUCGAGCGGUAAGGCCUUUCGGGGUACACGAGCGGCGAACGGGUGAGUAACACGUGGGUGAUCUGCCCUGCACUUCGGGAUAAGCCUGGGAAACUGGGUCUAAUACCGGAUAUGACCUCAGGUUGCAUGACUUGGGGUGGAAAGAUUUAUCGGUGCAGGAUGGGCCCGCGGCCUAUCAGCUUGUUGGUGGGGUAAUGGCCUACCAAGGCGACGACGGGUAGCCGACCUGAGAGGGUGACCGGCCACACUGGGACUGAGACACGGCCCAGACUCCUACGGGAGGCAGCAGUGGGGAAUAUUGCACAAUGGGCGAAAGCCUGAUGCAGCGACGCCGCGUGAGGGAUGACGGCCUUCGGGUUGUAAACCUCUUUCAGCAGGGACGAAGCGCAAGUGACGGUACCUGCAGAAGAAGCACCGGCUAACUACGUGCCAGCAGCCGCGGUAAUACGUAGGGUGCAAGCGUUGUCCGGAAUUACUGGGCGUAAAGAGUUCGUAGGCGGUUUGUCGCGUCGUUUGUGAAAACCAGCAGCUCAACUGCUGGCUUGCAGGCGAUACGGGCAGACUUGAGUACUGCAGGGGAGACUGGAAUUCCUGGUGUAGCGGUGAAAUGCGCAGAUAUCAGGAGGAACACCGGUGGCGAAGGCGGGUCUCUGGGCAGUAACUGACGCUGAGGAACGAAAGCGUGGGUAGCGAACAGGAUUAGAUA